AACGAACGCUGGCGGCAGGCUUCAUACAUGCAAGUCGAGCGAUUAAAGCUCCUUCGGGAGUGUAUAAAGCGGCGAACGGGUGAGUAACAGGUGGAUAACCUGCCUUCUGGUGGGGGAUAACUCCGCGAAAGCGGGGCUAAUACCGCAUUUGAUUGUCCGGACCUCGGUCUGGGCAAGGAAAGGCGCUUCGGCGCCGCCAGGAGAUGGGUCCGCCCCCCAUUAGCUAGUUGGUGAGAUAAUAGCCCACCAAGGCUGUGAUGGGUAGCCGAGCUGAGAGGUUGAUCGGCCACACUGGAACUGAGACACGGUCCAGACACCUACGGGUGGCAG
rnacentral:rRNA from 1 species